rnacentral:rRNA from 1 species
AUUGAACGCUGGCGGCAUGCUUUACACAUGCAAGUCGAACGGUAACAGGCCGCAAGGUGCUGACGAGUGGCGAACGGGUGAGUAAUGCAUCGGAACGUGCCCAGUCGUGGGGGAUAACGCAGCGAAAGCUGCGCUAAUACCGCAUACGAUCUAUGGAUGAAAGCGGGGGACCGUAAGGCCUCGCGCGAUUGGAGCGGCCGAUGUCAGAUUAGGUAGUUGGUGGGGUAAAGGCUCACCAAGCCAACGAUCUGUAGCUGGUCUGAGAGGACGACCAGCCACACUGGGACUGGGACACGGCCCAGACUCCGACGGGAGGCAGCAGUGGGGAAUUUUGGACAAUGGGCGCAAGCCUGAUCCAGCAAUGCCGCGUGCAGGAAGAAGGCCUUCGGGUUGUAAACUGCUUUUGUACGGAACGAAAAGGCUCUGGUUAAUACCUGGGGCUCAUGACGGUACCGUAAGAAUAAGCACCGGCUAACUACGUGCCAGCCGCCGCGGUAAGAC